rnacentral:rRNA from 1 species
CUCCAGACUCCUACGGGAGGCAGCAGUGGGGAAUAUUGGGCAAUGGGCGCAAGCCUGACCCAGCAAUGCCGCGUGAAGGAAGAAGGCCUUCGGGUUGUAAACUUCUUUUGACAGGGAAGAGCAGAAGACGGUACCUGUCGAAUAAGCCACGGCUAACUACGUGCCAGCAGCCGCGGUAAUACGUAGGCGGCAAGCGUUGUCCGGAUUUACUGGGUGUAAAGGGCGUGUAGCCGGGCUUACAAGUCAGAUGUGAAAUCCGGGGGCUCAACCCCCGAACUGCAUUUGAAACUGUAGGUCUUGAGUGUCGGAGAGGCAGGCGGAAUUCCUAGUGGAGCGGUGAAAUGCGUAGAUAUUAGGAGGAACACCAGUGGCGAGGGCGGCCUGCUGGACGACAACUGGCGGUGAGGCGCGAAAGCGUGGGGAGCAAACAGGAUUAGAUACCCUUGUAA